ACGUGCCACUUCCCAUGCAUUGGUGAGCUCCUACUUAAUGCCAUGUGCUGGGCAUGCAGUCCCACACCAGGGCAGAAACAGGAGAGAGAGAGAGAGACCUCUAGCUAGAAACAUUCUGUGGUGGCUGUGUGUUAAGAACCAUGGAAACCAGGCUCUGGAGGAAGGCAACGCUGGGAAGGGGGAUCAGUUGAAGCAGGCCAUGGAGGUGGACUCUGAGUGGCCACAGACCCUUUUGGUGUCUUCAGUGCCCAUGGCAGAGCCCAUCCAUCCCUGCCCGAGGUCACCUGGAGGUCUAAAUGAGACAGGACGGGCAUAGCAGAGUGGGUUUAUGGUGGGGGAGUGGAGAUGGGAGAUGCUCGACAGCGCAUGAAGCAGAGACCCUGGCUGUGGUCUCAGGCCUGUUGCUGGCCAGCCAUGGGACCCUGGCUAAGCCCCCUUUCGGCAAGUUGCUGCAUGCUCUUGGGCCAUGCUGUGUUAUUGGGUUGCACUGUAAUCUCUAGAGUUGUUGACAGGUCUAACAUAGAGGAGGCCUGAGCUCUCUGAGGCAGGCACAGCCCCUCCCCUGAUACAUGUGACAGCCUUCUACUCUGCCUGGGAAUAGGAUCAGGUCUGGGGAAGCCAUGUGCUUUGAGAAGGUGAGUGGUCUGGAUCUCCAGGAGAGAGAGGUCAUAAAGGGGGAGGGCCAGGAAGGGGAGGUGAAGGUUGUGUGCGUGUGUGCACACAUGUGGGUGUAUGUGUGCAUGUGUAUACAUGUGUGCAGGUGUGUGCAUGCAUGUGUGCAUGUAUACAUAUUUCCAAAAUAAACAACCCUUAGGAUGUUUCGGUCCUGGGAUGCUUGCAGCCCAGGAAAUGCUCCCUCCCUCUCCCCUCCAGCUUCUCUGCAAAUGCAAGACUCUGGCUUCAUUCCCUGGUCCUUCCUCAGUAUCUCACAAAGAAAGAGGAGGGCAAAAUGGGAAUUCAUUGGAAGAGAUCCUUGGUUCACACGCUAGGAAAGAAAAGGGAUGAUCUUGGUCUUGGCGUGAACUUCCACAUGAACGUGACUCCGUGCCUACCUGCUAAUAAGAGCGGGAGUGUGGAUUGUGCACAUAGGUGGGGACGGGGUGUUAGGGUUCCACCCUCAUGCCAAGUGGCAGAGGCCCCGGGGGAAGCCUCCUGCGGAACGUGGGAACAAAGGGAUGCGGGGCCUAGCACUCUACGCCGGUGUCUGUUCGUCUGUCCAGAAGGCUUGUCACACUCUGUGCCCAGCGCUGCUGCAUCUGCUCUCUGGCAGCACAUGGCUGCAUGUUUCUCUGGGCCCUGCCUGGUGCGCAGCAGCCAUAUCCUGGGCAGGUGUGCUGGGGCUGUUGCCUCACCUGGCCCUGGGAUGCUGGUAGCUCCGGAUUGACCAGGGUUUCUGAUGGGAAGGGAUGUACUACAGAGAAAUUCACUGUCCAGACAGGGAAACUGAGGACCAGGCCGUUCGCAGUUAGUGUUAGUACAGUCCUUCUUGGCCACUCUAAAUCCUCUGCUGCCUCUACAGCUGGAGGGUUCUGAUCCGUUGGCUUACAGGUGUGUCCUGUGGGCCACAUGGGGGUGGGUGGGUGUUCACAGCACACUGCCUGGAGCCAUGGUGCACACAGCAGGGGGUCUGAGGCUGCGCAGAAUGGCCCACUUCUAAACAAGCGUGUCUGAGCUUUGCCAGGUGUCCAUGUUUGGAACACAAUAAAAGAGGAGGUCU
rnacentral:lncRNA from 1 species